rnacentral:lncRNA from 1 species
ACGUCACACCCACUUUUACCGGUAGGUACACAUCGUACCUCUCGGCACGUGCUUUGAAAAAAGCUCGUGAAGGUGUUGCGUACCUACAUCCAGAUGAGAUAUUCACCAACCAUCCUUCCAAGUCACGUGCGUUACGUGAUACUGGCGUAGGCAUGUCUUCUGUUUCCAGGAUCCUGUAGGAAGCAGUAUUCCGUAUUCAUACCAUGGAAAUGAAGGUUGAUCAACCAUCUGUUUACAACAUUCCAAAAAUCACCUGGGAUAGUCUUUGAAAAUGAUCGAGUCAUUUGGAGUUCGGAGAGUGCAAAGACACUGUUUGUGCUGUAUUCCUGACUGCCAGAGACGAAAAAUUGGGGAAAUCUACAGAAAGCAGUCUCUCACGUGUCUUGCCUUUGUCAAUAAGCUUCAGGGCGAACCGAAGAACUCUCGGUGAACGAACUGAAUUGAACCGGAUUGCAGCUGCUUUGUAGUGCCAAUUACUUCGGGAAACAUCGGGAUUCAAAUUUUUGUCGAAUGUAUCAGAAAAAGGAUGAGAGGGAAGAAUUGACGGCGACGGAUUAAACGGUAUCUGGAAAUAGUUACUGAAAAGAUUCGUUGAUAUAGAACUCUAGCACAGUCAAUACGUCAAAUAUUUUAGAAAAUUGAAAUACUUUUCGAAAUAAAAUUAACACGAAUAUCAUCUACUUUAAUUGUGUUAUUUAAAAAAGCUGAAAUUUUGAGAGUUUAUUUUCGUAUGUAAAUUCGACCUUGCAUGUAUACCAAACUUCAAAUAUUUGAAUGGGGGAAAAGAUUUGUUGGUCUUGUUUGUAUAUUAAAUAACUGAACAAUC